rnacentral:rRNA from 1 species
UACGUAGGGGGCAAGCGUUGUCCGGAAUCAUUGGGCGUAAAGCGCGUGUAGGCGGCUGACUAAGUCCGCUCUGAAAGCCCGGGGCUCAACCCCGGGAGGCGGGUGGAUACUGGUCAGCUCGAGUCCGGAAGAGGAGUGUGGAAUUCCUGGUGUAGCGGUGAAAUGCGCAGAUAUCAGGAGGAACACCUGUGGCGAAAGCGGCUCACUGGACCACAACUGACGCUGAGGCGUGAAAGCUAGGGGAGCAAACAGG